GCUGGGUCAUCUCUCUCCAAGGCAUGCUCCAAGGGUACAUCCUCUGCCUCUGCUCACAUCCAAAGGAUUGGAUGAUCAUUGCAAGGGGGAAGGCAAGCACAUACAACACACAUAAUGCAAGGGUAAGCUAGGUUGGAAAGCAUGCAAGAUAAAUCCAAAUUCAACUAACAUAUACACAACAACAUGCACACAAGAAAGCAAGUAAACAUUCUAUCAGAUUAUACAUUAAUUGGAACUAACUAUCAUGUUAUACAACCACACACGCAACAUGCAAAGACCAUAACAUCAUACAGACUAAGACCGAACACAUUUUUGUUGAUACCAAUGACCGACACGUGAUUUGACCAUCCGGACUAGUAUGAAAUGUCGAGUUCCAGGGGUUUGUGCACUUGUUGUGGCCCUACUGCUUUGCAAAGCCAUUGCCGAGGGGUUUCACCCGGCCACACAAAAGUGUAAGCCCUUUACCGAAUAAUAGGCCUCCACGUGGCACCU
rnacentral:lncRNA from 1 species